AAUGAACGUUGGCGGCGUGGAUUAGGCAUGCAAGUCGAGCGAGAACCGUAGCAAUACGGGGAAAGCGGCGAAAGGGAGAGUAACACGUGGAUAACCUACCCUUGGGUUCGGGAUAGCCGCGGGAAACUGCGGGUAAUACCGGAUAACGUCUGUGGACCAAAGGUGUGAUUCCGCCCGAGGAGGGGUCCGCGUCCUAUUAGCUAGUUGGUAGGGUAACGGCCUACCAAGGCAAAGAUGGGUACGGGGUGUGAGAGCAUGCCCCCGCUCACUGGGACUGAGACACUGCCCAGACACCUACGGGUGGCUGCAGUCGAGGAUCUUCGGCAAUGGGCGCAAGCCUGACCGAGCGACGCCGCGUGCGGGAUGAAGGCCCUCGGGUUGUAAACCGCUGUCAGAGGGGAGGAAAUGCUGGUGGGUUCUCCCAUCAGUUUGACCUAUCCUCAGAGGAAGGACGGGCUAAGUUCGUGCCAGCCGCCGCGGUAAAAC
rnacentral:rRNA from 1 species